rnacentral:lncRNA from 10 species
CUAUCUCAUUCCUAUUUUAUUCUGUUGAAAGUUACAAUGCCUCAAACACCUUCACAGUCAUCAUCUGCCCUCACUGGGGAUGCAAGACACCUGGGGACCUCAGUAAAGGGGAGGUGAUGGGAAUGGGAGGAGUCUGGAGUAUGGCAAAUGAGAAGAUGGCGGAGGGACUCACAGGACAGGGGUUGACCAGGGCGGAGACAGCUGGGCUGCCUGAAGAAAGGCUGGAGAAUGCAGUGACCUCAGUUCUGUGACCACUGAAAACCAUGGAGCCAGGUGGAAGGAAAAUGGACUUGGGGACUGAAGAGAGCUGAGUUUAGGAGGCUGAGAAGUCCAAGACCAAGGUGCCAGCCAACUCAAUUCCUGGUGAGACCUCUCUUCCUGGCUUGCAGACUCUGCCACCUUCUUGCUGUGUGCUCAAAAAAUCUUUCCUCGGGAUGUGCAAGUGGAGAGACAGAGAUCUCUCUCUUCUUCUUCUUAUUACUCCACCAAACCCAUCAAAUUAGGACCCGGCCCUUAUGACUUCAUUUGACCUCAAUUAGCUCCUAAAAGUCCUAUCUCCAAAUAUAGCUUCAAUGGGGGUUAGGACUUCAGCAUAUGAAUUUUGAGGGAUACAAUUUUGUAGACACAAUUGAGUCCAGAGCAGGAACUUUCCAGAAAAGAAGAUAUGAGUCCAUAGAUCAAAAGAGCACUCAGGGCCUGGGUGCAGUGGCCCCUGGCCACCUAUAAUCCUAGCACUUUGGGAGGCCAAGGCAGGUGAAUUACUUGAGCUCAGGAGUUCAAGACCAGCCUGGGCAACACAGCAAAACUCCAUCUCUACAAAAAGAAGAGAAAAAGAGCACUUAGGAUCCUGAAAAAAAGAACCAAAACCAAAUCCAACCAUGUUGUAAUGCAACUCGAAAAUAUCAAGGCUAAAAAGUAACUACAGAGCUGCUGGAGAAAAAAGAUAGACUACUCAUAGAAGAAUAGCAAUUUUUCUGAUGGCUGACUUCUUAUUGGCAAGAAUGUAUUUGAAAAAGGUAAAAGCGAUAUUUGUAAACUUUUGAGGAAUAAUAAUCCAACCUUUGUUUCUAAAUUAAACUUAAUUAAAAUUCAGAAAGGAGGGCAAAGCAAGACAAUUACUAACAUAUAGAAAAUAAGCCCCUUACAGACCUGCAUUAAAUGAAUUAUUAAAGGGUGCACUUCAGCAGGAAGAGAAGUGAACACAGAGAGAAGGCAUGGAAGGAACAAUGUUGACAAAUGUUAACACUGACAAAAGAUAUUGGCAAAUCAAAUCAAGCAUUGACAUCAGAAAUCAUUUUAACAUUAAAAUGUUAACAUUUUAAUGUUAAAAAGGUAAAACUAAAUUUCCAAAUCAAAACUAAACUUCCAAAUAAAGUGUGUGUGCAUGUGAGUAUAUGUGAGCUUGUGUGUGUGUGUGUGUGUGUGUGUGUGUGUGCAUGCGAGUAUAUGGAAGUCAUGUGUGCAUGUUUGUAUGUGUGUGUAUGUAUGUAUGUGUGUAUCUGGUAAACUCUGCCACAGUGUUUUGCCAGUUAUCAAUCUAUUACCUCCGAGCUCCCAAAUCCACCUGUCCCUGUCUUGUUUAUGAUACUGGAAUUAUCCUCCUCUGCCAGCUGGCACGACAUUAAGCUUCAUUGGCAGAUGACACUGGAAGGGCACUGAAAAAACAAAGGGCUCUUUUCCAGCAAGUGCUUCUAGAGGCAGCCCUGUGGGCGGCUUCCCUGGCAUCCCGUAUGGGGUGUUCUCUGUGCACCAUCCCACCGGGGGAUUCAUCGUCAAUAGGCCCUGCAGAUGCAGAUCCUCCCUUUUCUGUCACCUCUCCAGUGAAGCCUGGUCCUGUCUGUGGGUGGCGGGUCACUUCCAGGUGUGUUACUUUUCUGGGUGCUCCACCUGUACCCCAGGGCUGGUGGCUGCUCUUUAUAUCUGUGAUUCAAAUAUUCUUUACAAGGUCUAACAUCCAGCAUUUAUAAGGAACUUAAACAAAUUUAGAAGAUAAAAACCCAAACAACCCCAUUAAAAAGUGGGCAAAGGACAUAAGCAGACACUUUUCAAAAGCAGACAUAUGCGCGGCCAACAAGCACAUGAAAAAAAGCUCUACAUCACCGAUGAUUAGAGAAAUGCAAAUCAAAACCACAGUAAGAUACCAUCUCACACCAGUCAGAAUUGCUAUUAUUAUCAAAAAAAAAAAAAAAAAACAGAUGCUAGUGAGGUAGUGGAGAAAAAAGAACACAUACACUGUUGGCAGGAGUGUAAAUUAGUUCAACCAUUGCAGAAAGCAGCAUGGUGAUUCCUCAGACAGCUAAAGGCAGAACUACCAUUCAACUCAGCAAUCCCAUUACUGGGUAUAUACCCAGAGGACCAUAAGUCAUUCUACCAUAAAGAUACAUGCACACGAAUGUUCAUUGCAGCAUUAUUCAAAUAGCAAAGACAUGGGAUCAACCUAAAUGCCCAUCAGUGAUAGAAUGAAUAAAGAAAAUGUGGAACAUACAUACCAUGGAAUACUAUGCAGCCAUUAAAAAGAACAAGAUUAUGCGUUUUGUGGGAACAUGGUUGGAGCUGGAGGCCACUAUCCUUAGCAAACUAAUGCAGGAACAGAAAACCAAAUACUGUAUGUUCUCACUUAUAAGUGGGAGCGAAAUAAUGAGAACACAUGGACACGAAGAAGGGAACAACAGACAUUGGGGCCUCCUUGAGGGUGAAGGGUGGGAGGAGGGAGAGGAGCAGAAAAAAUAACCACUGGGUACUGGGCUUAGUACCCACGUGACAAAAUAAUCUGUACAACAAACCUCUGUGACACAAGUUUACCCAAAUAACAAACCUGCACAUGUGCCCCGAACCUAAAAUAAAAUUUAAUAAAAAACCGAAGGAACACCACAAACGUUCCUUAUAGAUUUCUACCUUCUGUUAGCCAGUCUCUCCUUAUUCCAAUUCCCAGGAGUAGUUAAUUCUUCUUUAUAGUAAAUGUCUUCUUUUCAAAUUAUUACAUACCUCCUGUCUCCUGAUUAUACUCUGGCUAAUAUAGAAGGCUUUGCUAUGGCCAGGAGAAAGAUAAAAAUAUCAAUUAACUGUUGACAUUGUUAAAAAAAAAAAAACAAGUUAAUUGUGUAAUUAAACAAUGGAAAAGUUACCACAAAAAAAUAGAAACAUAAUUUCUUGUCUCUCACUUAUCAGAAGGAAUGGAAGAAGAUAGAAAAUUUUAUUAAAAGAGCAGAACACAGAGAAAAGUUGCUGUUUUAAAAAAUUGUUAAAAAUGAAAGAAUUAUACUUCUUGAAUUUAUUUAAUUUUAUAGUGUGAAAUAUGCAAAACAAUAGUGUAAAUUGUGCAAUACUAAUUGCACAAGUUAGUAGAUGUGCAUCUUGGGACACACAUCUCAAAAUGGAUAAAAUCCCAGUUCUGGAGUGGGAGACUCCAGUAGUGAGUGGUGACUCACUAGUGACUACGAGCAGUGACUGACCCUGGAAAGCAGGAAAGGGUAUAGGAUUAGAUGUGGUUCACUGGGGGUCAU